rnacentral:rRNA from 1 species
CCUACGGGUGGCAGCAGUGGGGAAUAUUGGUCAAUGGGCGCAAGCCUGACCCAGCAACGCCGCGUGAAGGAAGACGGCUUUCGGGUUGUUAACUUCUUUUAAGAGGGAAGAGCAGAAGACGGUACCUCUUGAAUAAGCCAUGGCUAACCACGUACCAGCGGCUGCGGUCGUACGAAGGUGGCAGGCGUUGUCCGGUUUUACUGGGUGUAAAGGGCGUGUAGCCGGGCUGAGAAGUCAGAGGUAAAAUUCCGGGGCUAAACCCCGGACCUGCGUUAGAAACUGUUGGUCUUGAGUAUCGGAGGGGCGGGGGGAAUUCCAGGUGUAGGGGUGAAGUGCGGAGAUAUUAGGGGGAACACAAGUGGCGAAGGGGGCCUGGUGGACGACAACUGACGGUGAGGCGCGAAAGCGUGGGGAGCAAAGAGGAUAAGAUACCCUUAGUC